rnacentral:rRNA from 1 species
AGCGGCGGACGGGUGAGUAAUGCUUAGGAAUCUGCCUAUUAGUGGGGGACAACAUUCCGAAAGGAAUGCUAAUACCGCAUACGCCCUACGGGGGAAAGCAGGGGAUCUUCGGACCUUGCGCUAAUAGAUGAGCCUAAGUCGGAUUAGCUAGUUGGUGGGGUAAAGGCCUACCAAGGCGACGAUCUGUAGCGGGUCUGAGAGGAUGAUCCGCCACACUGGGACUGAGACACGGCCCAGACUCCUACGGGAGGCAGCAGUGGGGAAUAUUGGACAAUGGGCGGAAGCCUGAUCCAGCCAUGCCGCGUGUGUGAAGAAGGCCUUUUGGUUGUAAAGCACUUUAAGCGAGGAGGAGGCUCCUUUAGUUAAUACCUAAAGUGAGUGGACGUUACUCGCAGAAUAAGCACCGGCUAACUCUGUGCCAGCAGCCGCGGUAAUACAGAGGGUGCGAGCGUUAAUCGGAUUUACUGGGCGUAAAGCGUGCGUAGGCGGCUUUUUAAGUCGGAUGUGAAAUCCCUGAGCUUAACUUAGGAAUUGCAUUCGAUACUGGAAAGCUAGAGUAUGGGAGAGGAUGGUAGAAUUCCAGGUGUAGCGGUGAAAUGCGUAGAGAUCUGGAGGAAUACCGAUGGCGAAGGCAGCCAUCUGGCCUAAUACUGACGCUGAGGUACGAAAGCAUGGGGAGCAAACAGGAUUAGAUACCCUGGUAGUCCAUGCCGUAAACGAUGUCUACUAGCCGUUGGGGCCUUUGAGGCUUUAGUGGCGCAGCUAACGCGAUAAGUAGACCGCCUGGGGAGUACGGUCGCAAGACUAAAACUCAAAUGAAUUGACGGGGGCCCGCACAAGCGGUGGAGCAUGUGGUUUAAUUCGAUGCAACGCGAAGAACCUUACCUGGCCUUGACAUACUAAGAACUUUCCAGAGAUGGAUUGGUGCCUUCGGGAACUUAGAUACAGGUGCUGCAUGGCUGUCGUCAGCUCGUGUCGUGAGAUGUUGGGUUAAGUCCCGCAACGAGCGCAACCCUUUUCCUUAUUUGCCAGCGGGUAAUGCCGGGAACUUUAAGGAUACUGCCAGUGACAAACUGGAGGAAGGCGGGGACGACGUCAAGUCAUCAUGGCCCUUACGGCCAGGGCUACACACGUGCUACAAUGGUCGGUACAAAGGGUUGCUACCUCGCGAGAGGAUGCUAAUCUCAAAAAGCCGAUCGUAGUCCGGAUCGCAGUCUGCAACUCGACUGCGUGAAG